rnacentral:rRNA from 1 species
GGAAGGGCACUACAAGGAGUGGAGCCUGCGGCUUAAUUUGACUCAACACGGGAAACCUCACCAGUUCCGGACACCGGAAGGAUUGACAGAUUGAGAGCUCUUUCUUGAUUCGGUGGGUGGUGGUGCAUGGCCGUUCUUAGUUGGUGGAGCGAUUUGUCUGGUUAAUUCUGAUAACGAACGAGACUCUAGCCUGCUAAAUAGGCGUACUUUCCGGUAUCGCAAAGACCCUCCGCUUCGGUUUCGGUCGUUGUUGGUUGUGGUUCUUACUACCGGCGUACAAAUAUAUCUUCUUAGAGGGACAGGUGGCA